rfam:Edhazardia aedis TSNM 41457 supercont1.36, whole genome shotgun sequence.
GGCAUCAUGGCCGAGCGGUCGAAGGCGGAAGACUCAAGUUCUUCUCUCGCAAGGGGCGGGGGUUCGAAUCCCUCUGAUGUCA